GUUGGAAAAAUAUGACAUAGAAUUAUUUCAAUAAUAAUAAAUCAAAGAAAUAUUAGAACAAAUAAAUAUGACUAAUAAUAAAUUAAAUUAGAGAAGAAGAAAAGCUUAUCGAUUUUGACUGAGGCGUGCAAAUUGCACUGGGCUUAAGAGUAUUUCGCCGCCACAGGUAAGUUACCCGGUGCAGUUGGCCUCAUAGCUAAUACUCUCCAGGAUACAACAGUCACAUCUUGCUAGCACUGCACGUGAAUUAGCAAGGUCUCAACGAACUCCUUUUGGAUGCUCAUGGGAACUUAGUAUUAUUAUUUUAGUAAUAUAAUUUGUUGUAUCUCCU
rnacentral:lncRNA from 1 species